UGCUGAAACAGUUGUUACGGAGGCCUGUGUUAGUGACAGCUGGCCUGCCACAGCACCUCUUUGUUGCUUCAUCUGUGACCGAAGAGGACGAGUGAGGAGUAGGACCCUUGCGAAGGUUUUAGAUGCAAGCUUAGGAGGAUGAGGGGCGCUGUCCGAGGUCUGAGAGGCAGCCCGCACCCUUUGCCUCUGAAAUAACUACUUUUUGGAGGUGCCAGAGGAGAGAAUCGGUGGAGCGCCCUCCUGGAGUGGGAUCACAGCACCACCCAAGCCUAGAAUCGUCAUCUUCUGGAGUCUCACUCUUUCACCGAAGCUGGAAUGCAGUGACGUGAUCUCGGCUCACUGCAACCUCCGCCUCCUGGGUUCAAGUAAUUCUCCUGCCUCAGCCUCCCAAGCAGCUGGGAUUACAGGCACACACCACCACUCCCAGCUAAUUUUUGUAUUUUUAGUAGAGACGGGGUUUCACCAGGUUUGCCAGGCUGGUCUUGAACUCGUGACCUCAGGCGAUCCAUCCCCCACAAAGUGUUGGGAUUACAGGCAUGAGCCACCAUGCCUGGCCAAUGGUGUGUGACUUCUGAGGCUAGGAAAUAAUAACACAUUGUGACUUCCACCUUGCUACCUCUUGGAUGGCUCCUUCUGGGGAAGCCAGCUGCCAUGUUGUGAGGACACUCAAGCAGUCCUCUGGAGAGGGCCAUGUGACAAGGAACUGAGAUCUACCAAUAGCAAGUGCAAACACCAAUUUGCCAAUGAUGAAACUUGAAAUCAUAUCCUCUAGCCCCUGUCAAACCUUCACUGACUACAUCCCUGGUUGUCAACUUGACUGUGAUCUCAAGUAACAACAUCACACAGAUUUUCAUGAGCCGUGAGCCAGAAACACCCACCUGAUGUGCUCCUGUGUCUUUGACCCACAGAAACCAUGAGAAAUGGUACACAGUGUGACAAUGUUUAUUGGUAUUCUAAGCCAUUAAGUUUUGGGGUAAUCUGUUACUGAUCUAUAGCCAGAUAAUAUAUUACGCUCUCAGUCAAAAUUCUUUGUGGAUAAUUAUCUCAACUCUCUGGGCUACCCCCACUCCCACAUACACUUUGUGUGUUGUGCUCAGAGAGUAGUGUGUUCCCUUUUCUUCCAGAGCCUCUAAGUACUAUUUCAAGAACACUUUUCUUUUCUUUCUUUUUUUUUUUUGUUUGAGAUGGAGUCUCACUCUUUCACCAGGCUGGAGUGCAGUGGCACAAUCUCGGCUCACCACAACCUCUGCCUCCUGGUUCAAGUGACUCUCCUGCCUCAGCCUCCUGAGUAGCUGGGACUACAGGCGUGUGCCACCACACCCAGCUAAUUUUUGUAUUUUUAGUAGAGAUGGGGUUUCACUAUGUUGGCCAGGUUGGUCUCGAACUCCCUACUUCGUGAUCUACCCACCUCAGCCUCCCAAAGUGCUGGGAUUACAGGUGUGAGCCACUGCGCCCGGCCCUUCAAAAACACUUUUCAAAGGUUGCUGUGCACUGAAGCAACCUAAACACUUAAUUCCAGAUCCCUGAGUCCUAUGUAUUUCUAAUGUAGACCAAU
rnacentral:lncRNA from 1 species